GUGAAAUUAUACAGGAUUAUAGUUCGCCAGCUCCGGACAAUGAAGGCAAAUCAAGAUGAAUUGCCGCUCGGCCCUCCCAUCGGCUCGCAGCCGGGCGGCCAGGAGGGGCCGGCGGGGGCGGGGGGCGGCCGCAGGGACAUCGCCACCACCGCCACCACCACCGGCAGCGACACCGACACCGGCAGCGACACCGGCAGCGACUGCACGGGGCGAGUGACCACAUACACUUUUCUGCUGGUGCUGUUACACUCCUCUGACUUCCAAUAAAGAAAGUGCUUGAGAAAGCAUGGGAAGUCCAGUGACAUUGGGCUUCCCCAUUAACGAACCAUUCAGUGGCAGAACGUAUUCUUCAGUGAUUAAUGGUGAAAGAGAUCACAGAUGCUUCUUCAAUUAAUCUGGAAUGUUGAGCAUUUUUGACAGCACUUCUACAGCUGCUCCAACUAUAUUAAGGUAGUUUUUCUUUCCGAAACGUAAUUAAAAGUGUACAUCGUAAAUUACAGAUCUGCAGCAGUCCUACAGGCUCACUUGACAACCAAUUUUUCACUGUUUCUGUUGCCCUUGGCUGUUCUUUGUGGUGGUUAAAUACUAAACUGGUCAUUAGGAACUUGUAGCAGCAAGGUUCAUUUACAAGCCUGAUGAGGUAAUAUGUCUGGGUUCUCACCAUUCAUGUUCAUUGGAAUAGUAACUCUGUAGUUCAUGAGCAGAAAGCAUAACGAACCCUCAUCUUAACAUAACUUCAGGCUCAGUAGAGUUUCGUUUGCUCAGUAAAUUGAUGUAACUCUCUACUUUUGGUUGGAUUUGAAAGCUAUUUCACAAUGAAGUUAACUUCAAGUCCCCAGGGCAAUGCUUCACGUCUAUUGCUUAAAAAUUUGGCUAUAUAUUUUGACACAUUUAUAUCUCGUUCCUAAAGAUGGAUAACACUAUGAUAGCUCUUCUGAUUUAUAAGGUGAUUAUCUAUCCUCAUCUAUUUGUGGAGGCAGACAGACAGCAGCAGUGCAAAACCGCAGCACUACCUCUCCAGUAGUGGAUGAUCAGUACUCCAGGCUAUGGCAUGCAAGUGGCACUAGAAACAUGAGAUGUUGUAACUUCCUCCCAAACUGUAUAAUGUAGUUUUUAGAUAAGAUUUUCGUUGCUGCUUGAUGAAAUCCACCCUUCUACUUGCUGUUGAUAUCCAGACCUUUAAAUAUGAACUUGAGGUGACAGCUGUAAAUAUCCUAGUAAUAGGGAGUGAAGACCUGGCUGAGACUGCAUCCAGCUGUUGUUUCCAAAGUAAAACAGGUCUGCAUUUAGAACUAUGAUUAAUUUCCAUUU